ensembl:lncRNA
CCAGGUAUCACGGCUCCGCGCCCUGCCCUUGACCCGCGGGCAGCUGCUUUUGGUCUGGUCGGAUGAGCGCGUGGGCUCCAAGUGCCUGUGGGACUAUGAGAUCCAGUUCUGCCCGGAGGGUGGGGUGUACACACGCGUGGACAGGAAGCCUUCGACCUUUAACCUCUUCGUGUUCAGCCCAGACACGGCUGUUGUCUCUGGCUCCUACCGGGUCCGUGCCGUGGACUACUGGGCCCGGCCAGGCCCCUUCUCGAGCCCUGUGCGGUACCUGGAGGUCCCUGCCGGGUGAAGGCCACUGCUGCCCAGAGACUGAGCCGUGCCGACCAUGACCCUGGGUGGCCAGGAGCGGUGCUGGGCUGCACACCACUGGCCUCUCGGUCAGUCCAUCCCCUCUGUUUGUCCCUUCCUGCCCCCUCCCUCACCCCCUUAAAGUGCCUUUCCACACACAGUCUUGGGCAUGGCCUUCGUGGUGGGCACUGGGCAGAUGGCGGCCAGAGCAAGGCCAUGCCCGGCACCCGCAUUGGGGCCCUCUCCCCACCUGUGGGAACUGGGAGGGGCUGAGGGUGCAGUUGCCAAGGGGGGCAGCUGCUCUCCUGCCUGGGGUCUGGGCCUGUGCUGCAGGGGGGCUGCUGAGGCUGCGCUGGGCGGGGGUGACUUGGGGCAGGGCAGAGGCCAGAGGCCCCCACUUCCGAGGCCCAGCCGGGAUGCCCCCUGCCCCCGCCCCCUGCCAGGUGGGGGGAGGGGAGGGCCCCAGGCUGCCAGGCCCAGGCUCAGUCAGGGACAGCUGGGGGCCGUGUAUGGAGAUGUGGGCAGGGCAGGGGGGCCUCCAGGGGUAGUGCAGAACCUUGGGGCCCCACCCUGGGGCAGGUGGGGCCAACGGAGAAAGGCGGGGAGAGGUCCCUUGGUGAGGCCACCUGUCCAAAACAGAGACCUUCAGCCCGGGUGCAGCCAGCCUGGGCUGCUGUGAGCAGAGUGGGGGCCGCAACCCCACUGUCCUCUGAACACGGCCUGGCCUUAGGCGGGGGAGGCGCAGGCCUGGAAUGGCGGAUGGAAAGUCCAGUCAACCCUCUGUCCCCACUGAAACCUGCUGCCCCCGGUCCACACGGAAAACCCAGGACCACCAGGGCCACUGCUGCCUCACUCUGGGCAGGAGGCGUCAGUUUGGCUGUCCUUCCACGUUCCAAAGCCAGCUCUUGUGCCCCGUCCCCCUUGGUCGGAGGUCGGGGGGGGCUUCAGGGCUUGGUUCCCGGGGGGGGGCCGUCUGUCUCGAUGGGGCCCUGUGUUACCAUAUGGGGGCCCCCAGGUUCUGGGCCUUGUCUUCCUGCCUCGUCCCGCAGCUCUGCCGGAGGGGCCCAGGGGUGAAGCGUCCCAGGCCCUGUAGCUCCAGCGCGCACUCUGCCCCUGACCUGCUGAGGCUGCAGUCCGAGGUCAGGGCUGCGGCAGGGGGCUUCCUCCUGGGGUCCCGCCUUGGCCCGCAGACGGCCACCUCCUCCCUGCGCCCCGACGUGGCCCUUCUUCUGCGCCUGUGUCCUAACCUCUGGUGAGGACACCAGCCCUGUGGGUUGGGGCCCACCCAGACGACCUCAUUUGAAUCACUUCUUUAAAGGCCACGUCACCCAAUACCAUCACUUUCUGAGGGCCUGGGGGGCAGAAGGUCCGCGUGCAAAUUUGGGGGAUCCAGUUCAGCCCAUAGCGAGCACUGUGGGUGGCGAGGGUGCUCAUCACCGCACCCAUAAAGCAGCCUCCUGUCUGGGCCCAACAGCUGCGCCCUGGAGACAGAUUCACCGCAAGGUGCCAGUGCACAGCGCGGGAGCCCGUCCCACCUCCCGCAUCCACCACAGCAGAAAACAGGGAAGCACAUUUACGGUUUAUGUGUAUUUCAAACCGCAUCACUACGCUGUGCGCUGGAAGCUAACACCGUGUAAAUCACCUGUACUUCAAUACAAUUUGUUAAAGU